rnacentral:rRNA from 1 species
UCGAGAAUCUUCGGCAAUGGGCGAAAGCCUGACCGAGCGACGCCGCGUGAGGGAUUGAAGGCCUUCGGGUUGUAAACCUCUUUCGUAGAGGAGGAAGGGGCUGUGAAGAACAGUCCUUGACCUAUUCUAGGAAGAAGCUUGGGCUAAGUUCGUGCCAGCAGCCGCGGUAAGACGAACCAAGCGAACGUUAUUCGGAAUUACUGGGCUUAAAGCGCGUGUAGGCGGACUACCACGUCGGUCGUUGAAAUCCCCCGGCUUAACCGGGGAACUGGCGCCGAUACGAGUAGUCUGGAGGUGGGUAGGGGAGACUGGAACUUCCGGUGGAGCGGUGAAAUGCGUUGAGAUCGGAAGGAACGCCCGCGGCGAAAGCGAGUCUCUGGACCCAAACUGACGCUGAGACGCGAAAGCCAGGGGAGCAAACGGG